rnacentral:rRNA from 1 species
AGUAACGCGUAGGUAAUCUACCCUUAUAUUUGGGAUAACAUUGGGAAACUGGUGCUAAUACCGAAUGGUCUUCAUUUCUGUUAGGGAGAUGGAGUAAAGGUGGCCUCUUCAUGAAAGCUACCGUGUAGGGAUGAGCCUGCGUACCAUUAGCUAGUAGGUGGGGUAAUGGCCCACCUAGGCUACGAUGGUUAGCGGGUCUGAGAGGAUGAUCCGCCACACUGGAACUGGAACACGGACCAG